rnacentral:rRNA from 1 species
AGUGAACGCUGGCGGCAGGCCUAACACAUGCAAGUCGAACGGCAGCACAGUAAGAGCUUGCUCUUACGGGUGGCGAGUGGCGGACGGGUGAGGAAUACAUCGGAAUCUACUUUUUCGUGGGGGAUAACGUAGGGAAACUUACGCUAAUACCGCAUACGACCUACGGGUGAAAGCAGGGGAUCUUCGGACCUUGCGCGAUUGAAUGAGCCGAUGUCGGAUUAGCUAGUUGGCGGGGUAAGGGCCCACCAAGGCGACGAUCCGUAGCUGGUCUGAGAGGAUGAUCAGCCACACUGGAACUGAGACACGGUCCAGACUCCUACGGGAGGCAGCAGUGGGGAAUAUUGGACAAUGGGCGCAAGCCUGAUCCAGCCAUACCGCGUGGGUGAAGAAGGCCUUCGGGUUGUAAAGCCCUUUUGUUGGGAAAGAAAAGCAGCAGGUUAAUACCCCGCUGUUCUGACGGUACCCAAAGAAUAAGCACCGGCUAACUUCGUG